GGGCCCGCACAAGCGGAGGAACAUGUGGUUUAAUUCGAUGAUACGCGAGGAACCUUACCCGGGUUUGAACGCGGCAGGACGUACGGUGAAAGCCGUAUUCCAGCGAUGGUCUGUCGCGAGGUGCUGCAUGGUUGUCGUCAGCUCGUGCCGUGAGGUGUCGGCUUAAGUGCCAUAACGAGCGCAACCCUUAUCGCCAGUUACCAGCGUGUAAAGACGGGAACUCUGGCGAGACUGCCGGCGUAAGCUGCGAGGAAGGUGGGGAUGACGUCAAAUCAGCACGGCCCUUAUAUCCGGGGCGACACACGUGUUACAAUGGGGGGGACAAAGGGCAGCUACACAGCGAUGUGAUGCGAAUCUCGAAACCCUCUCCCAGUUCGGAUCGAAGUCUGCAACCCGACUUCGUGAAGCUGGAUUCGCUAGUAAUCGCGCAUCAGCCAUGGCG
rnacentral:rRNA from 1 species